rnacentral:rRNA from 1 species
UGAACGCUGGCGGCAAGCCUCAUACAUGCAAGUUGAACGAGAAAGUAUCUUCGGAUGCGAGUACAGUGGCGGACGGGUGAGUAAUACAUAGGAAUCUACCCAAUGGAGGGGGAUAGCUCGAGGAAACUCGAAUUAAUACCGCAUAAUCUCCACGGAGUAAAGAGGGCUUCGGCUCUCGCCAUCGGAUGAGCCUAUGCAAGAUUAGCUUGUUGGUAAGGUAAUGGCUUACCAAGGCUACGAUCUUUAGCUGGUUUGAGAGGACGACCAGCCACAUCGGGACUGAGACACGGCCCGGACUUCUACGGAAGGCAGCAGUAGGGAAUAUUGGACAAUGAGCGAAAGCUUGAUCCAGCUAUGCCGCGUGUGCGAUGAAGACCUUAGGGUUGUAAAGCACUUUAGGUUAUGAGAAAAGAUUUGGUAUUAAUACCACCAAAUUUUGAUGUUAAUUUCAGAAUAAGCACCGGC